AUAAACCCUUCCCCACUUUCUCCCAACCGCCCUCCUCUCAGCAGAUCUCUCUCUCUCUGACUCUCUGCUCAGUUGCUCAUUUUCUCCUCUGAGUGAAUCUCUCUCUCUAAUGGCUACCAAUCUACUAUCUUUCUGGUCCACCGGAAUCCAAGCAUCUGCUUCCUCUGGACACCGGAAGCAGGAGCCAAACCGCCGGAAAGCAUCAUCGCCAAAUUGGUGGACCCCGCUCUUCGGCUGGGCGUCGGAGGCCGACUACAUAGACAGCAACGAAAAUACUAAAACCAGAAGCUCCGAUGCGUCGGCUAAGACAAGGGAGAAAUCUGAUUCCGAGUCCGCAAUGGCCCGUCCGAGACCUCGGUUCGCUCCGGGCUGCUUCACGGAAGAGAAGGCGAAACAACUCCGGAUGAAGACGAUGGAGACCGCCAACUUCCACGAUAUCAUGUACCACUCGGCGAUCGCGUCCCGCCUGGCUUCGGAUGUUCCGAAUCGAUCCGAUCGGUGAAGUUCCCCGGACUCACCCGGGUAUCGAACGGCCAUCCCUAUUUAGAUCAGAGGUUAAUCAGACGGCAGAACGCACGAGCAGACAUGUAGGACCCAUGAUUUUAUUAGUUGUAGUUUAGGCCGUUAGAUUGUGGAAGUCAAAACUUGGAGUGUUUGAAGUGGACAGCUUGAUACUAGGGUACUAAGGUACCUAGGGUUUGGUGAUGUAUCAAAGGAUCCAUGGGAUGAUGGGAUCGCCCAUGACGAGGUGACUUGAUGAUAUGAUGAAUAUGCAGGUCCCAGUGGCAGUGCUUGAUUGGUUGAAAAGUCAAAUCGUAGCUGAUAGAGUAUGCUCUCUUUUGUUUGCUCAUAAAUUGGAAGUUCGUAUGUCAAAAUUAUGCCAAAUAUGAUGGAUGAGGACAUGCACACAUUGUACGCGGACCCACAACGCUCCUGACAGUUGAUCAGAUACCGUUGGUGGCAUAGGACAGGUGGAGGGAGAUUGAAUAUGUGGCAAAUUCAGUGGAUCCACUAAUAGUUAAUCUGGAUCAGCCAUUAGAUCCCUCCACGUGGCAAAAAGGGUGGAUUCAUGUAAGAUCCUUCCGCGGCGUUUAUUCUCCCAAUAUGCAAGGCCCCAGAUCCCCGAGACAAUUACAAAACCAGUGCAGAAACUCCGGUUGGGCGCUCCUCUCCAAUUCAGAGUUGGUUAUGGGCCUUAUGGCGUUAUGGGUCGUUCUGAGCUUCAAGCCUACCAACACUAUGAGUGGCCGUUUAUUUUAGAGGGUGUUUGGUUCUGUUUAUAUUUAUGGGUGGCCAUUUAUUCUUAC